UUUUCUCUCUUUAUCAGCUAUGAUUAGAUUUGGGUGUGGAGAUGAUUCCAAGACUUUCCAGGACAACCUCUGCCCCAGAACACGUGGAGGAGUGUUGCAGUAUAAAUUACAGUAGGCAGCUCUUCAAGCCAUUUCAAAGCCUUUUGAUAAAAGAACAACAUAACAAAAGCUUCACAGGUCUGUGGCGAUGCCUCUGUGAGGACGUCAUGAAAAACAGAUCUGCUGGUACUAAUGGAUGGCGAAGGAGUUCCUGCUGCCAGGGGCAGGACAUCUGACCAAGUGCCAAUCAAAGGAUGACCUCAGCACUUAUAGGAGUCAUCACCUUUGUUUUGCGCUGGUGCCCAGAUGAGCAGAAACCUAUUCCUGUAAUGCUAAUGCUGUAAUGCUAAUGCUGUAAUGCUAAUGCUGUAAUGCGCUGAAGUCUUGAAAGUGUGAAGAAGCUCUUGAAAUAUAUGAUGAUGUAUGAUGCACGUUGUGCAAAAAAAGUGACGUUGUAGAAAUGGAACAUUUCUGUAACUUGGUUUACUUGGUUGGGGGACCAAUAGUUUAAAACAUACCCCAUCAAAUUUAAAAAAUAAAUAAAUGUUAAAAUUGAAGAAUAAUAAGCAAAUCUGUAACUUAAUAUAAUAUUGUAUCCAGGGUGCAAAUGACACAGUGACUUUUGGGUUAGUGUCUGAUCAAUUGUAUUAAGUGUAAAUGACUAUCUGGACUAUAAAACAACAUAAAUUGCACAACAAUGUAACCUAACCCCGUUAUCUUGUUCUC